rnacentral:rRNA from 1 species
GACGAACGCUGGCGGCGUGCUUAACACAUGCAAGUCGAACGGAAAGGCCCUGCUUUUGUGGGGUGCUCGAGUGGCGCACGCGUGAGUAACACGUGAGUAACCUGCCCUUGACUUUGGGAUAACUUCAGGAAACUGGGGCUAAUACCGGAUAGGAGCUCCUGCUGCAUGGUGGGGGUUGGAAAGUUUCGGCGGUUGGGGAUGGACUCGCGGCUUAUCAGCUUGUUGGUGUGGUAGUGACUUACCAAGGCUUUGACGGGUAGCCGGCCUGAGAGGGUGAACGGCCACAUUGGGACUGAGAUACGGCCCAGACUCCUACGGGAGGCAGCAGUGGGGAAUAUUGCACAAUGGGCGGAAGCCUGAUGCAGCAACGCCGCGUGCGGGAUGACGGCCUUCGGGUUGUAAACCGCUUUCGCCUGUGACGAAGCGUGAGUGACGGUAAUGGGUAAAGAAGCACCGGCUAACUACGUG